ensembl:snoRNA LOC120100417 small nucleolar RNA SNORA17
ACUGCCCCUAGAGAAACUGCAGGUGUGGCUGCUGUGUCACGUGUGUGUCAGUAGGUGGCAGAGAGGAGAGGCUAUGUCUAUGUUCAAUAUUCCGACCUGCGAACAUCUGAAUAGAUUAGUAGCCUAAUGCU